GAUGAACGCUGGCGGCGUGCCUAAUACAUGCCAGUCGAGCGAACAGACGAGGAGCUUGCUCCUCUGACGUUAGCGGCGGACGGGUGAGUAACACGUGGAUAACCUACCUAUAAGACUGGGAUAACUUCGGGAAACCGGAGCUAAUACCGGAUAAUAUAUUGAACCGCAUGGUUCAAUAGUGAAAGACGGUUUUGCUGUCACUUAUAGAUGGAUCCGCGCCGCAUUAGCUAGUUGGUAAGGUAACGGCUUACCAAGGCGACGAUGCGUAGCCGACCUGAGAGGGUGAUCGGCCACACUGGAACUGAGACACGGUCCAGACUCCUACGGGAGGCAGCAGUAGGGAAUCUUCCGCAAUGGGCGAAAGCCUGACAGAGCAACGCCGCGUGAGUGAUGAAGGUCUUCGGAUCGUAAAACUCUGUUAUUAGGGAAGAACAAAUGUGUAAGUAACUAUGCACGUCUUGACGGUACCUAAUCAGAAAGCCACGGCUAACUACGUG
rnacentral:rRNA from 1 species